UGCUUUCUUCUCAGAAACCACUCGGCUAUUUCCACCAUCUAUAUCAAUCUUGUUCCCCAGUAAUAUGAAAGGAAAUGUUUUAGGGUCUGGCGGAUUAGCCUGUUUGAGAAAUUCUUCAUGCCAAUUGUCAAGGUUAUCAAAGGAUCGCAUUACAUUAACAUCAUAGACCAAAACACAGCAAUCUGCACCUCUAUAAAAUGCAACUCCAAGACUCUGGAAUCUCUCUUGACCGGCCGUAUCCCAUAUUUGGAGUGUAACAAGCCUGUCAUCAAUUUGAAGCUCCUUUGUCACGAAAUCAGCUCCAAUUGUAGCUUUAUAUUGCUGACUGAACUUCUUGUGUACAUAUUGAUUCAUUAAUGACGUUUUACCAACCCCACUAUCGCCAAGGACGAUAACUUUAAGCAAGGUUCUUCUACGAAUAGACAUGGCGAAAGAGAAAUCAAAAGUGAACCCUGUAUUUGGAAUUUGGGAAUUUCAAAUCUGGGUUGACAAUUUUCAGAAGAGAGAGGAAAGGGGAUUGUAGAGAGAGAAAGAGAAACCAGAGAAA
rnacentral:misc_RNA from 1 species